rnacentral:ncRNA from 1 species
GAAGUUAGAUCAUCAUGGAAAACUUAGAAGCAUUGGACGGCCCUUUGUACACACCGUCCGUCGGUACUACUGAUUGAAUGGUUUAGUGAAGUCGUUGGAUUGGUGUCGUUUUACUGACUCGACUAAUGUUAAGAAGAUGACCUAAUUUGACUAUUUAGAAGAAGUAAAAGUCGUAAAAACGUUUUCGUAGGUGAACCUGAGGAAG